AGUGAUUAAAUCAAAACUAAUAUUAAAUUAAAUAUAUUUUUUUUGUUUCAAAAUAAUGCAUGUUUUAGAUUUUUUACAAACUAAUAAAAUAUAUAUUAAAUUUUAGUAUUAAAUACAUAAUUUUAUGUGAUCAUCUAUUUUUCCAAAGUUAAACCAAUAAAAAUAUAAUCAAUGCAACAAAUUUUUUGCAAUUUAAAAUAAUCACUAUUAGUUGAUAAAAAUACUAAUAGAAGAGUCAUGAACUCAUCUGGUUCCAGAGAAAUCAUUGGAAAAGACAGGGGGUGUCAUUUUCGGGACAAUAAGGAGCCUCAUCGUGAUAAUUAUAGACUCAAAGGACUAGAUGUGCAGCUGCGGAGGAGAUGGUGGAUUUGCAAGGGUCGGUACGAAGGUGCAUAGGGCAGGCUGGUGGAUCUAAUGAAAGAGCCAUGAGCUCUGGUUCUAGAUUACUCGUAGAGAAAUAUAAAAGAUUUCAUUUCCGGGACAGCAAGUAGACUCAUCGUGACAGUUCUAGACUCGUUAGACUUGAUAUGUGGCUGGAGAGAAGACAUGUUUGGUGAAGAUGACCAGGAUAUUUGCGGAAGAGACGGUGGAUAUAUAGGGUUUGGAGAUGAAAAUGAAGGGGAUCGGCCGGUGGAGGCUCAUUGAAACCGGUUUAAAUCCACUAGCACAAUAACAAAGUUUCUAUUGGGCCAUAGUGUUUGAACAAGCUUUGUUGAUUGCCCUUAACACCCAAUAAUGGGCCAUGCCCAACAAAGGAAUAACACUUCCAAAUCCAGCAUUGAUUGAUGACAUCUCAUAACUGCAUGUAUUGACGAAGGUAAACAGAAGAUGCAUUGGAGCGACGGUGGAAGGUCUACGGUGGUCGGUAGAGAGGGAUGCAGCGUAGAGAGCAGAUGCAUCGGUUCAAGAUUCUUAUUCGGUGAAUUGAAGUGACGUUACAACGCGGCAGAGAGGAGGCUUUUCAGCGGAGAGGAUGUUUAGAUUGUAAAACAAGCGGAGACACAACAGAGGCAAAGAGAUGUGAAGAUCUGGUGACAGGAGGAGAAGGCUUACGCAGCGGAGAUGUCAAAAAUCCUAUCUUCCAGGGAGAAUAAAAAAUUUGGAUUUUAGCUUGAGUGGAGGAUUUCCUGUGUCGGCAUAUGCUCAAAUUUACCGUGUGAGCAACUCUUCAAUUUCAUAGCGUUAGUUGUAAUACUUAGUGAUCGAAUCUAAUGGGACAUGAAUCACUCAAUAAAAUUGGGUUAUCAUCAGAAUAGUUCUAAUACAUAAAUUAAAACUGUUGUAAACGAUGGAAGAAAGCGUUAGAUCUAGCAAAAUCAAUAAAGAAAUCAGAAUUGCAGUAAAAAAAAAUUAUCAGGGUUAAUGAAUAACUGUUCAAGAACACAAAUCACAAUAAUCAAAUUAUCAGCUUUCGCUGCAGAAACUAUCUAGAUCCUUAGUAUCCCAAAUUUCUUUGAAAAGUUAAAUUAUUAAGAAAAACACUAAGAUUAGGUUUGAUAUGUUCACUAAAUCCUUAAACCAAAUUUCUUUUCAGUUAAGGAUUUAACUCAUCAAGAUUGUAUCAGACAAUUAAUAACACAGUAGCAUCUACCAAUUAUAAUAUGAUCUAGAUUAUCGGAGUUGCUAAUCCAAAUCUAGCAUUAAAAAUAAGAACAAUCAAGAUGAAGAUUAAAAGAUAAACCCUAACAAUUCAUUCUAGAAAUUAAUCAAUCUUUUGAAAUUCUUAUAUCUAACUAGUGGAUUACUCAGAUAUAAUCAAAGAACACAUGUUCAGUGAUGAACUCUGCAUAAUUAAAAAAAAUUAUGGGGCCUCUGCCUAGAAAAAUAAAAUAAAAAUUGAGGCUUCUUUUGUCAUUAAAUUUAUUUGAUUUUAGGGUGUGCUCCGUGCCAGCGCACUGUUCGCCCUUCCCCUUGAGCCGCGCUGCUUAGUGCUAUCAUUUCUCUAAUUAACUAGAAUCUGUAAAUUGUUUCAGAAUCCUCUUUUAUCGGGUUGAUUAAAUGGGAAAAUGUUAUGCACUUUUUUUGUAGCCUUAGACUUAUGUAAUUUCCAGUGAUAUUUAGAGAUAAUAAUUAAUCCGCUAUAUACCUGAAUUCCUAUUGUAUUAUUCUAGUAACGCAACUCUUAUCAAGUUAUCAUUAAUAACACUUCAGGAUACUAUCUUUUAGCAUAAAUGGUAAUUUGACUAUAUAACUUUCAGUCGAAAAAAUCUAACCUAUAUUAAAAGGGAUAUAUGAAGGCUUCUAAGAUGUGUCACGUAGGAUUAAAAAUUCAUCCAAUCAAAAGGUUAUAUUUUGACAUGUCACGCAGCUGUGUCCAUCUGACUCUUCAUUCUUCUUUACCAUCUCCGUUCUCUAGCAAUCACCGUUACUGUGAAACCCUCCUCAUCAAUCAAAGUUGCUAUUUAAUCUCUUCUUCACGGUUUUGUUCCAUCUCCCGUAGAUUCUCCUACGAUAUAAGCCGCUUCAUCUAAACCCUGGAUCAAGCCCAAAUCGAAAACUAUCACUAACGAAGCUACAAUUACGACCACAAAAUCCACCGGUAAGUCUCCUGCCUCCGAAGUUUCGCUCGGACCAAAAUCCAUUUCUGGGAGGCCAAAAACAUUGCGAAAGGUGGGACCUUUAUUGGCUUAGAGCUGCUAGGAUCAAGCUGGAGGUCGCUGCGUAGGGUACCAGCCUAAUCAGCACGUAGUACCUUUGUUAGUUUAGAAUCUCAAAACACUAUAUUGGUUUGUGGGUUUCAGAAAAACUGAGAACUGUUCUUUAUAUUUGUAUGCAAGAGAUCGAUUUUGAGUUUGAGACUGAAUAAAAGAAAUAUCUUACCAGACAAGGAAAUAAUUAAGAGUCAUUGAAAGAUGAAACUAAAAGACUUAGCUUUCUUCAAGAAAAAAAAAUGUAUAUGGCAAAUCUUCAAAAGCUCCUGCUAAAAACGAAAAGAGAGACAAUGUCAGGAACCAAUGGGAGCAUCUGGUUUGUUUACUUGCUGAUAAUCAUAUAAGGUUGACUCCCAGGCCAGAGUUUCUGAAUAAGCUCGACGAUAGAGCCGUUGAUGCCGUCAAGACAAAGUUCUUUAAGAACUACAAGAACUGGUGCAAAUUUUUAGGACGUAAACAUAGUUUAAGGUACCAGGCAACAUUUUAUUUUCACAAAUGGCUUGAAUGAGACACUUUUUGAAUGAUGUUUAUACUCUUAAUAAAAAUUCACUCAUUUAAUUUAUGCGAAGGCUUUCUCAAGGUGCUGAAGAUAUACAACAGCAGAAGAUAUUGUAUAUGGGUUUUUAAAUCCUUUUUAGCUGAUAUGAUUAGUCAAACACAAGAAUUCAUCAAUAUUUACCUGCUUUUUAUUCUCAGAUGGCUUAUGAACUCCAUGGUCUCCUGGCUGGAAAUGUCAGCAUCGUUACUGGAAAAAAUAUCAAGCCUUCUUACGGUGGAGAUGAUGAGGUUUAAAUGAUAGGUUUAUGACAUCUUAAUAAUCUUGACCUUCUAUACUCCAUAGUUCUCUUUUCCAUGAAAUGGGAAGCAAGUAAGAAUGCCACUGGCAAGGCCGCUCACUCAGAUUGGUCCAACUAUGAUGAUCUGUAUGAAUAUUUUUGGUACGUUAAAAAUCAAAGUCUGUAAAUUGAAUAUUUACUUGGUUGGGAAAUCUUAAUUUUUUUUUUGUGACAUAUGCACAUCACUGUUAUAUAGGUCUCCAGAUUGCUUCUAUCUCAGCUGGCCAAUGCGUGAUGAUGGAGAUCUCUCUCCAUUAUCUUUAUUACAUCAGCUUUUCUACGCUUCCUCCAGAGUACGUCACCCUCAAUGUUGCAACAAAACUUUCCCUGUUUGGAGUUCCUCUGUUUCAUCAUUUUGUUACUUAUCUAGGAAAUAACGAUUACAUUGUUUCUUCCUUAUAUUCUAGGUAUCUUGGAUAUUAUCUUAAACUUCCCGGGUUUCCACAGAUGGAAAUUUACUGAAAUUUUGAGAAAUAUUCUCAAGAUCGCUCUAAGUCUCGCUUGGUGUGUAGUCUUACCGCUUUGCGAUGCCCAGUCCAAUUCUUCUGCUCCUGGGAUGCUGAAGCAAUGGAUAUCAUUCCUUCCACGAGACGUUAAAGGGGUUCCCCCGCUCCAUAUCUUGGCUGUCGCUCUUUGCUUGCUCCCAAAUGUGCUGACGGCUAUCAUGUUCAUUUUCCCUAUGCUUCGACGCUGGAUUGAGAAUUCAGUCUGGCAUAUAAUUAGAUUGCAUGUGUGGUGGUCACAGGUAUGAUGCUGGAUUUAUAAUUCCUUUCUUUUCAUCCUGGAUGAAAAUUAUGAUUCUGUUUAGUUAGCAAAUCCCUUUAGGCAUGCUAGAAGAGCUCUGAACUCUGUUAUGUCUUAUGUUUUAUAUAUUGCAGUGCUAAUGGCAUAAAUUAUUUGAGUAUUUUCUAUAUAUUUAAAUUGCAUUGUAUGAUUGUAUCUAGAAGCUAUCUCUUGGCUCAGUUUAGCAGCUCAAAUAUGACUGAACCACCACAAACCUCACCGGCUAUUCUUUUUGAUGUUUGCAACAAGAGACAAGAUUAUAUAUAUAAAAGCUCAUGCGUCCAUGGUUCUUAGUGUCUUUGUCUUUUUUAGUUUCUUUUUUUACUAGGAAACUUCUGAUAUUUGUAUGUAUUUGAUUCAUUCUUCUUAGUGUCUUUGUCUUUUUUAGUUUUUUUUUUUUGCUAGAGUGUUGUUUUUUGUCUGUCUAAAGACAUACUCUCUGGGUUAUCUCAUAAAAAGAAGAGGUGUAAUAAAUUGCUCCUUAUCAACUGGACACGCACUGAAAAUACUAAAGAUUACACAUAUUGGGAUCUAAACUAUUUUUUUCAUCCCCGGAUGCUGAAGAUUACAACGUAGACCAAAUUGGCCAACAAGUCCACGGUGGUGCACCAGGUAUGUCCAUUCCUUACCUUACUUUACUUUCUCUACCAGUUAUGUUUUGGUAUUUACGGUUUAUUGGAUUCGUGUCGGCAACACGAGGAAAAUCUCAUCACAUUCAUGAUCCGAUGAAAGAGGUUAGGAGGAGAUAGUUCCUCCAGGCACAAAGGAUUUUCAUGUCAUGGCUACUUCCCACACUAAAGUCUGAGCCAACCAAAGCAGUGGAACCAGUACGAGGCCCCAAUACCUCUCACGGACACGAAGCUCUGCCUCAUCAUGCAGGACCCUUAGGUGUGUCGGAAAAAUAAGAAAAAGAGGCGUAGGAAAACGUAUAACACACCCGUGUCUUUACUCUCUCUGACAUGAGAUGUCACUAGAACAUUUAUUCCUGGUGACAACUUAGAGUCAACAUCGAGAGAGACAGAGGAUUGGAGGAAAUGACGGCUGCUCGGGUCUUGGUGGGAUCUCGAAUUAUAGUCCAAAGUCACUUUUCCCACCGGAAAAACUGGUGGAGAAAUUGGAGCAGCACAGCUCUUGCGAGGAGGAAAGGAACAUGUGAUGAUGUUCAACUAGGCUCCUGGAAGAGAGAGGGGAUACAGUCAAGAAGAAUGAAAUCAUACCUUCUUCUGAAACGGAAGCCUCUGCUGGUUGCGGUUAGGGCAAGCUGAACAUGCCUUAUAUGAUGCUAACGUCUGCAGAGAACUAAAACCUGAUUGGUCUAAAAGAUGUUGUUUCUGUGAAGGUGUUGCUCUUUGUUUCCUACAGGUAAAAAUCAUCUCACUUCUGUUACAAAAAGCAGUUGACUUUGAACGCUGAAACAUUAUAAUUCACUGAGUUAUCAAUGAUUCUACAGAUAUUUGUUGAGGCAGCCAAUGCCUUUUUACGAAGGAGUAAAGCAAAGAGAUCAGUGAUGAGUUCAGGUUUGUUUGAAACCCUCAUUAUGUUUUGUUUUUUUUUCCUAUCGUUUUUCAAGAUACUGUCUUUUCUUUCUUCUACAGAGAAGUUGUAGAUGCUCAAAAGGAAGUUUCCCGGCAAGGGAAAGAUUAAGGCCAAACUAUAAGAUCUUCUAGAGAAGGCUCUUUUUAGUAUAUGUAUGAAGUUUUGAUAUUGCUUCUUACCUUGGUCUCUCCCAUGACAUUGUUGUCUAUCUUUACUUACACGUACUAAAAACUUCAGGCAUAAAAUUUUGUUUGUGCUCUGAUUUUGUCAUUGUGUUUGGAUUUACAAUUUUGAUUUUUAAAAAUUGUAAACAAUGAUUUUAUUUGUUAUACUUAACAUUUUCUUUUUGCCACC